UGGACCUGCCCCCAUCACCAGGCCAGCUUCCCACCUGCACGUGCAGCUCUUUCUUCUUUUGCAGGAGGCUGGCUCUGCUCAUUAGACAUGCAACAAAGAGCUGGCCUGUGGAGCACACAUCCAUAUUCAUAACUCAAGUCAGCUGGAAAGUUGUACAUUUUUCUUUCUGGGAAGUCAUGGCGACAAAGACUGAAGACCCAGGCAGCACAAAUGUGAAUGAUGGGUGAGUCCUUAUCUCUUGGAAGAACAACAAAGACUGAAGUGAGUAUAUUUUAUGCUUGGAAAUGAGCAAAUCAUUCCUUUUGACAAGCCAUUGAUGUUGGGGGUGAGUAUCUGUCUAUCAGGAAUUGAGCUAGAUUUGAGAUUUUUUUC
rnacentral:lncRNA from 1 species